rnacentral:rRNA from 1 species
UGGGGAAUAUUGGACAAUGGGCGCAAGCCUGAUCCAGCGACGCCGCGUGUGUGAAGAAGGCCUGCGGGUUGUAAAGCACUUUCGAUGGGAACGAAAUGUGCCGGGUUAAUACCCCGGUAAGCUGACGUUACUCAAUGAAGAAGCACCGGCUAACUCUGUGCCAGCAGCCGCGGUAAUACAGAGGGUGCGAGCGUUAAUCGGAAUUACUGGGCGUAAAGGGUGCGUAGGCGGUUAAAUAAGUUAGAUGUGAAAUCCCCGGGCUUAACCUGGGAAUUGCAUUUAAUACUGUAUGACUAGAGUAGAGUAGAGGGAAGUGGAAUUUCCGGUGUAGCGGUGAAAUGCGUAGAUAUCGGAAAGACAUCAGUGGCGAAGGCGGCUUCCUGGACUCAUACUGACGCUGAGGCACGAAAGCAUGGGGAGCAAACAGGAUUAGAUACCCUUGUAGUCCCUGAGCGGGCUGGCAAGGCGCAU